AACUCCUUGGUUAUAAUUUGCAGGCUGCUCACUGGUACUAUGCAGGUUUCCAUUGCCUUUUGUGGGAUGGUCACCUUUAGAUCUUUACAGGUAGUGGGGUUUCCUAUCUCAUUGCCAUGGAGUAAUACCAAUAAAAUGUUGGUAUUGAGAAGAUGAGCCUUUGCUGUUAUGGAAAGCUUGAGGUCCCCAGCUCUCCAAGACACUGAACACACAAGCUCCUCCGGAAAGAAGCAGAGUCGGCAUCAUAAGGAAGGCAAACAGCUGGGGAAUUCCUUUCCCAGCACUCUUUGGGGAGAAGUGCUGGAGGCUGCCUGCAUAACGUUAUCCUCUGCUUGGCAGGAUCUGAGCUCAGGACCUGAGCACACGGAUUCCCGGCUGUCUUUUGGAUGCAAACAGAGUUUCCAAUGUAGAAAACAUCUUGCUGUGGGGAGAAGGUCAGGCUUGCUCUUACCUCCUCCCUGACACAACCCCAACUUGAAGGCGGGAGAGCUGGGUCUUUUCCUGUUUCCCCAUGGUUUCCAGAAUUCCAGAUCUGGGCUCUUUCCCAGAAGACUCCAUAGGCUCCAUUUCAGCCUCCUUGGACAGCACUGUAAAUUGCUAAUUAUGCUAUGGUUGAUGGCCCACAUGACUGGGAAUUAGAUCUGAAUUCUCAUCACAGAUCUGCCACCUCCUACAUGACACCUGUCCCGAUUCUUUUUCUUUUAAAUUUAAUUUUUAUCAUCAUGUAAAACACACUUGCAUAUUGGUCAUCGUGGAAAAAGCACACUCAUUCUGAAAGCCCAAAAUAAAAGU
rnacentral:lncRNA from 1 species